rnacentral:rRNA from 1 species
UGAGGAAUUUUGCGCAAUGGGAGCAAUCCUGACGCAGCAACGCCGCGUGGGUGAUGAAGGCCUUCGGGUCGUAAAGCCCUGUCAGGUGGGAAGAAUGUCCCGGGAAUGAACAGGUUUCGGGAGUGACGGUACCACCAGAGGAAGCACCGGCUAACUCCGUGCCAGCAGCCGCGGUAAUACGGAGGGUGCAAGCGUUAUUCGGAAUUACUGGGCGUAAAGCGCGUGUAGGCGGUCCUGCAAGUCGGAUGUGAAAGCCCCGGGCUUACCCCGGGAAGUGCAUUGGAAACUGUGGGACUUGAGUACUGGAGAGGAUGGGGGAAUUCCCGGUGUAGAGGUGAAAUUCGUAGAGAUCGGGAGGAAUAUCAGUGGCGAAGGCGCCCAUCUGGACGGUAACUGACGCUGAGACGCGAAAGCGUGGGGAGCAAACA